UAGGGGUGAGGAUGAGAUCUGUUCCUGAGCUGAAGACAGCUGGAUGGAGGGAAACACACUGACUGGGCCUCAUAGUGCUUUCAGAAACUGUAUGAGCUGUCUGUCUAUACCUAUGGGGAGUCUUGCGUGGAAUGCCCCAAGCCUGAGUGUCAGCAGGUGGUCUUGAAUUGGAGCUGCAUCAAUCUUUGGACUUCGGAGACUGAGUUGAUAACUGACUACCGGAGGGCUUUUAUCUCGAUUCUCAACCAACCGUGCAUCAUAAGCAAUUUUCAAUAUUUGGAGUAUAUUUUAUCUCAGCCAAGGGAAACCAUGGCACAUGCAUAACAAAGUCUUCAUGCACAGUGUAAUUCAAUAAA